rnacentral:rRNA from 1 species
GAUAAACGCUAGCGGCAGGCUUAACACAUGCAAGUCGAGGGGCAGCAUAGAUUGUAGCAAUACAAUUGGUGGCGACCGGCGCACGGGUGCGUAACGCGUAUGCAACCUACCCGUCACAGGGGGAUAAUCCGGAGAAAUCUGGUCUAAUACCCCAUAACAUAUGGAUCGGCAUCGGUUCAUGUUGAAAUUUUCGGAGGUGACGGAUGGGCAUGCGUAGCAUUAGCUUGUUGGUGAGGUAACGGCCCACCAAGGCGACGAUGCUUAGGGGGACUGAGAGGUUUUCCCCCCAAACAGGUACUGAGACACGGACCAGACUCCUACGGGAGGCAGCAGUGAGGAAUAUUGGUCAAUGGGCGCAAGCCUGAACCAGCCAUGCCGCGUGCAGGAUGACGGCUCUAUGAGUUGUAAACUGCUUUUGUACGAGGGUAAAGUGGGUUACGUGUAACCUUUUGAAAGUAUCGUACGAAUAAGGAUCGGCUAACUCCGUGCCAGCAGCCGCCGUAA